rnacentral:rRNA from 1 species
GAUGAACGCUGGCGGCGUGCUUAACACAUGCAAGUCGAGCGAGUGAGUUCUUCGGAACGAUCUAGCGGCGGACGGGUGAGUAACACGUGGGCAACCUGCCUCAUAGAGGGGAACAGCCUCCCGAAAGGGAGAUUAAUACCGCAUAACAUUAUCGAGUGGCAUCACAUGAUAAUCAAAGGAGUAAUCCGCUAUGAGAUGGGCCCGCGGCGCAUUAGCUAGUUGGUGAGGUAAAGGCUCACCAAGGCGACGAUGCGUAGCCGACCUGAGAGGGUGAUCGGCCACAUUGGGACUGAGACACGGCCAGGCUCCUACGGGAGGCAGCAGUGGGGAAUAUUGCACAAUGGGGGAAACCCUGAUGCAGCAACGCCGCGUGAGUGAUGAAGGUCUUCGGAUUGUAAAGCUCUGUCUUUGGGGACGAUAAUGACGGUACCCAAGGAGGAAGCCACGGCUAACUACGUGCCAGCCGCCGCGGUAA